ensembl:lncRNA
GAAAACAACAUCAUCAAGAAACCAUAUAUGUACACGAAACAGUUUAUUUUUCAGGACAGUAAACAUCAGACAGUUAAGAACAUCGGUCCCUAGGAGAUGAGAAGCAAAAGCUUCAGGCUCAGAAUUGCUCAACUUGCUUCCUCGAGAGGAAGGGGAAGUGGGGGGAGCCCAGUGGGACCCUUGAACUGAUGAGAAAGAGCUGAGGGUCCAGGGAGACCCAGGCAACGAAAGUUCAUGGCACAGAGCGCUGGAGAGGAGUGCGUGCGUAGGGAGCCCUGGAGGCCCGCAGAGGGGCCCACUCACACACCCAGUCGGGUAAAGAGCAACACGUGCCUCGGAGGAAAUUCUUCAAGGCUUGGAAGAGAACCACCAGGAGGGGCGGGGGCCCAUGCCCACUGCUCAGGCAGGGCUGGGAACAGGGUCCGUUCCCACCAACCAGACUCAGAAAAUGGACACUUCACGGGGCCUUGGGCACUUGGAAAAUUCCUGCAUUACCCUGGGGGCAGUUAACCCCGAAUGGGGCACUUCCCCAGGCCCACCUUACAAACCCAAAAAAAUCCAGACCAGAGAGGAUCAGAUCAUGGCCAGGUGACUUAACUGCUCCCCAGAGCAAAGCUCCAGAACGUUCGUAGGAGUAGAAAGAGGUCCUGCACGAACGAGGGGGAAAACACACAAUGUCUGGCAUCUGAUCAAAAAUUAGCAAACAGGCAAAGAAGCAGGAAAAAGCGAGCCAUAAGAGGAGGAGAGCCAAUCAAUCAAAAACAACUGCAAGAAGUCAGCACUGCAAACCCCUUAAAGCCAAAGCAGCAACACAGAAAGGCCGAGCAAAGGAGAUAAAAUGGAAUUCAGAAAACUCUCGAUUGACGCAGAAGAGGCACUGUGGUUCUCAGCAGCAGCCCCAAGGCACUUCCAGGCUCGUCUUAUCUUUCCACCCCACCGCCGCACCGCCCAACUUGGAGCCCUCCAGGGACGCCCACUACUCUCAGGAAGAAGCCCCCGCUCCCCAGUAUGGCGUGCAAAGCACAGCGGGCAGGCUGCCCCCUGGGAGGGCUCCUGCCCACCCUCUUCCUCACCUGCCUGUGGGGGUGCCUCCUCCCCUGGGCCACUGCUGGGCCUCCCUGGCACCAAGCUCUGGAGUUGGGGGGCCCAUGUCAGGAUGUCAGAUCUAACACAGGAAAAUGUUUGCCUAAAAUAAAAGAACUAUGUCCCUACACAUCUGUAAGGCCCAAACCGAAACACUAACACCAGCAGAUACCGCCUCGUGGCUGGUGGGAGCGUGAGGCGGCGUCCUACGACUCGGCACACACACCCACCCCGGUUCAGCCACCGCGAUCCUUGGUUCCUAACCCCAAAGAGCUGAAAACUUCAGACCAUGCAAAAACCUGCUCCUGGAUGAGUCCGGCAGCUUAUUCAUCAUGGCCAACAUGGGGAAGCCUCAAGAUGCCCCUCAGUGGGGGAGUGGGUACCUUUCCGCAGUACAUCAGGUGAUGGUGUAUCAAGUCAGUUCUGUUCAGCCGCUCAGUCGUGUCCGACUCUUUGCGACCCCAUGGACUGCAGCACGCCGGGCCUCCCUGUCCAUCACCAACUCACGGAGUUUACUCAAACUCACGUCCAUCGAGUCGGUGAUGCCAUCCAGCCAUCUCAUCCUCGGUCGUCUGAUGCAGUGUCAUUCAGCUCUAAAGGAAAAGGCACGGAGAAACCGUGAAGAGAUGCAGAGGAAGCGUAAAUGCAAGAGAGAGAGGCCAGUCUGCAAAGGCUACCACGUGGGGCCCUAACUGGAGGACAGCCUGGCAAAGCAGACCCACGGAGACAGCAGGAC